rnacentral:lncRNA from 1 species
CUGACAGAUUGGGAGAUAGGACCAUAAAUUCUUACAAAUUGGGAGUAAAGGAGACAGCCAAACUAGAGCCAGGAAGUCUGGAGAGAUAGAGGUAGAGGAUGUUAAUCAGGUAUCUGAGAUAGGACAUCUGGAAUCUUAUCUUUUAGAAUGCCAGAUCUCUACACGCCUAAUUAUCUCAGUCCUAAUGGUCAGGGGGAUUGAGGCAGAACAAUUAGGGAAACUGAGGCAGGACAUUAAAAGGAACUGUGGCACAACAUUCCACACUCUCUCUUCUGAAUAUUCAAAUCAUUGAAUUACCUUCCCCUAGGUACCUGGAGGUCUUAGCACCAUAAUUUUGGCCAACCCUAUGUGAAGCAAAUAAACCAAAAUAAAACAAGGGAAAUGCAGGGACUUAUGGCAAGGACAAGUCUCUCCCUAAUAACCCCAGAGUUAACAGCAGUACAAAGGCUCCCUGUUGCAAGCAUGUCAGGUCCUUUGCAGUUCUGGAGCACAUCUCAGCCAGGGAAACUAGUUUGAGAUGAACUAUUGGAUCUGAGUUAUAUCUGUGGUCAUUUGUUCACUUAAUUCAGCCUCUGCUUACAGAGGGAGUAGCAGGGCUCACAACAAUUGUGCUGGCCCAUCCUAGGAGGGGCACCCCAAGUCUGUCAGGGACUCCAAAGAGGGGAAAGAGUGGCGCCUGGAGUAGCUCUGCCUGUCCCUGCUCAGAAGAACAGGAGCUGCUCCUAGGAUACAGAAAGGAUCCAGACUUCUGAGCAGAGCUAUCAGAGUAUUCAGUUAGAUCAUCAAGGCAGGCAAACUCCAAACUUUAGAGGCCUGAUACUAAACUGCAACAUCCUUCAAGAAUGCUGAAAUACUAAUUAAGGAACUAGGGUUACAGAAUUGGAGACUGCCAAGUCCCAAGGUGCCCGAUUUCUGGUUGUUUGUAAAAAAUAGUCUCCAAAACUGAGUCUGCCAGGGCCAUUCUGACAGAACAAGGGGUUUCAAAGUUAAAGCAUAACCAGCAAUCACAGUCCAGUAGGGGUUUAAAUAUUUAACCAAACAAGGAUUAAAAGAUGAAAAAGGGUUUCUGAAAGGGCUUUCAAUGAUAAGGGACACAAUGACAGUGGUGGGUAAAGUGCCUGAGGAAAAGUGAACAGAAAACUAGGGUGUUCCCAUUCUUUCAGGUACUUUUGAGAAAAA